rnacentral:rRNA from 1 species
GACGGACGCUGGCGGCGUGCUUAACACAUGCAAGUCGAACGGAAAGGCCCCAGCUUGCUGGGGUACUCGAGUGGCGAACGGGUGAGUAACACGUGGGUGAUCUGCCCUGCACUCUGGGAUAAGCCUGGGAAACUGGGUCUAAUACCGGAUAGGACCGUGCUUUAGUGUGUGCGGUGGAAAGUUUUUCGGUGCAGGAUGAGCCCGCGGCCUAUCAGCUUGUUGGUGGGGUAAUGGCCUACCAAGGCGGCGACGGGUAGCCGGCCUGAGAGGGUGUACGUCCACAUUGGGACUGAGACACGGCCCAGACUCCUACGGGAGGCAGCAGUGGGGAAUAUUGCACAAUGGGCGCAAGCCUGAUGCAGCGACGCCGCGUGGGGGAUGACGGCCUUCGGGUUGUAAACCCCUUUCGGCAGGGACGAAGCUUUUGUGACGGUACCUGCAGAAGAAGCACCGGCUAACUACGUG